rnacentral:rRNA from 1 species
AUUGAACGCUGGCGGCAUGCCUAACACAUGCAAGUCGAGCGGAGCGGCGGACGGGUGAGUAAUGCCUAGGAAUCUGCCUGGUCGUGGGUGAUCACGUCCGGAAACGGGCGCUAAUACCGCAUACUAUCAGAUGAGCCUAGGUCGGAUUAGCUUGUUGGUGGGGUAAAGGCAUACCAAGGCGACGAUCCGUAUCUGGUCUGAGAGGAUGAUCAGUCACACUGGGACUGAGACACGGCCCAGAAUCCUACGGGAGGCAGCAGUGGGGAAUUUUGGACAAUGGGCGAAAGCCUGAUCCAGCCAUGCCGCGUGUGUGAAGAAGGUCUUCGGAUUGUAAAGCACUUUAGGUUGGGAGGCGUUACCAACAGAAUAAGCACCGGCUAACUACGUGCCAGCAGCCGCGGUAAUAC